rnacentral:lncRNA from 1 species
CAGGGAUUAUGAAUAAUUUAUUGAUCCUUUGUUUGAUAAACAAAAUUAAUAUAGACAAAUUAUAAUUUUUUUCUUUCAUAUUCCUUGCCAGAUGAAAUAAUUUUGCUUUUAAACACAGAGGAUGAUCUAAAAGAUAUAACCAACACAGGGUUUCGAGAUAAAGUUGAAACUUCAAAAUUAAUAAUAUCCACAUUCCCUUGAUAGCGAUAACUUUACAUGUAUUGUUUGUUUAUUAAAAUCCAGCGUCAAAUGGAUAUUCAUGUUCUAUUUGUAAAUCCACAGAGCAUGUUAUGUGUGGUACAUGCAAAAAA